UGGCCGCAGUAUUUUGACUGUGCAAAGGUAGCAUAAUCAUUAGUCUUUUAAUUGAAGGCUUGUAUGAAUGGUUGGACGAAGUAUUAACUGUUUCAUAUAAAUUUAUAAUAAAAUUUUAUAUUUUAGUAAAAAAGCUAAAAUUUUAUUAAAAGACGAGAAGACCCUAUAAAUCUUUAUAUUUGAAUUUUUAUUUAAUCAUUUAAUUUUAUUUAAUUAAAUUUAAUUUAAAUAUUUUAUUGGGGUGAUAUUAAAAUUUAUAAAACUUUUAAUUUUAAAUAUUACAUUAAUUUAUGUUUUAUUGAUCUAUUAAUAAUGAUUAAAAGAAUAAGUUACUUUAGGGAUAACAGCGUAAUUUUUUUGGAGAGUUCUUAUUAAUAAAAAAGUUUGCGACCUCGAUGUUGGAUUAAGAAAUAAAUUUAGGUGUAGAAGCUUAAAAAUUAAGUCUGUUCGACUUUUAAAUUCUUACAUGAUCUGAGUUCAAACCGGUGUAAGCCAGGUUGGUUUCUAUCUUUAAUUUUUUAUAAUAUUUUAGUACGAAAGGCCCAAAUAUUUAAUUAAUAUAAUUUUUUUUUUGAAAUUAAUUAAAUUAUU
rnacentral:rRNA from 1 species